rnacentral:rRNA from 1 species
AUUGAACGCUGGCGGCAGGCCUAACACAUGCAAGUCGAGCGGAGCGGCGGACGGGUGAGUAAUGCAUAGGAAUCUGUCUGGGAGUGGGGGGUAACGUCCGGAAACGGGCGCUAAUACCGCAUACUAUCAGAUGAGCCUAGGUCGGAUUAGCUAGUUGGUUGGGUAAAGGCCUACCAAGGCGACGAUCCGUAACUGGUCUGAGAGGAUGAUCAGUCACACUGGAACUGAGACACGGUCCAGACUCCUACGGGAGGCAGCAGUGGGGAAUAUUGCACAAUGGGCGAAAGCCUGACCCAGCAAUGCCGCGUGUGUGAAGAAGGUCUUCGGAUUGUAAAGCACUUUUAGUUGGGAGGCGGUACCAAAAGAAUAAGCACCGGCUAACUUCGUGCCAGCAGCCGCGGUAAUUC